rnacentral:misc_RNA from 1 species
CAAUCUCAGCCGCUCUUUAAUCAGGAAACCCUUCAGCAUCGUCUCCAGGCCUUGAUUGAGGGGGCCAGGGAGAGCUGGACCUACGCCAUCUUCUGGCAAUCGUCGUACGAUUACUCCGGUGUUUCGGUGUUGGGGUGGGGUGAUGGGUACUAUAAAGGAGAGGAGGAUAAGGGUAAAGGCAUAUCUAAGGGUCCUAGCUCCUCAGCUGCAGACCAAGAACACCGAAAGAAGGUGCUCCGUGAGCUCAAUUCGCUGAUCUCAGGUUCCACCACAGUCACCGACGAUGCCAUUGAUGAAGAAGUCACUGAUACCGAGUGGUUCUUUCUCGUCUCCAUGACUCAGUCGUUUGUUAAUGGAAGUGGGUUGCCGGGUCAAGCUUUUUUCAAUGGGAGUCCGGUCUGGGUUACUGGACCUGACCGGCUUUCUGCAUCACCGUGUGAGCGCGCCAGGCAGGGCCAAGU